UACGUAGGGCGCAAGCGUUGUCCGGAAUUAUUGGGCGUAAAGAGCUCGUAGGCGGCUUGUCACGUCGAUUGUGAAAGCCCGGGGCUUAACCUCGGGUCUGCAGUCGAUACGGGCUGGCUAGAGUGUGGUAGGGGAGAUCGGAAUUCCUGGUGUAGCGGUGAAAUGCGCAGAUAUCAGGAGGAACACCGAUGGCGAAGGCGGUUCUCUGGGACGGUACUGACGCUGAGACGCGAAAGCGUGGGGAGCGAACAGG
rnacentral:rRNA from 1 species